GCCUGUGUGGCUCAGUCAGUUGAGCAUCUGACUUUGGCUUAGGUCAUGAUCUCGCAGUUCGUGGGUUCGAGCCCUGCAUCAGGCU
rnacentral:tRNA from 1 species